rnacentral:lncRNA from 1 species
CUGUCUAUCAAUCCAACACCUAGUUUGAAAGGUAUACUUUUGUACAUUUUAACACUUCUAAAAUCAAAAAACAGUGAUUUAUUUAUUUAAAAUUUAAAAAUUAUUUUAUGUGAAUGGGUGCUUUGGCAGCCUGCAUGUUAGUGUACCACAUUCUCCUGAAGAGACCAGGAAGAGGGCAUCAGAUCCCUUGGAACUGGAGUUACAGAUGGUUGAGAGCUGCUAUGUGGGUCCUCUUGAAGAGCAGCCAGUACUCUUGACCACUGAGCCACCUCAGCAGACCAUAAUGGAUUCUGACUAGCUCCUACCUCUAGACCAG